rnacentral:lncRNA from 1 species
GGAAAUGGAGGGGGGAGGGUAGGGGAAGAGUUGGGGGCCACUGGGCCAGAGGCCACCUGAUGUUCCACACAGCAGCCAGGGCUCGCCAGCAACUCUCCUCCUCGCCCGGCUUCCUCUUCUCCUGUCCGAGCCUCCAGAAAGGGCCUGGCCUUAAUCGAUCGCGUUCUACCCGGGCAGGCGUGAUCUCCGACCACUUCCUACACACAGCGGCUCUUUCGGAGAACCUUCUCUUUGCUUCCUUCUGGCCUCCCGCCUCGAGCGCGGAGUGAGAGCUGUGUUUCCUCCGCAGCAAGCGCUUGUAUAGCGUUUUCGCCGGCUUCCUGGCCCUUCACUCCUGAGUCUGCCGGGGACAGCCACGUUGCCUCUCCCCAUCACGAUGAGGACGUGGCCAGCAGCGGCUCCGGCCCCGCGGCCCCGGGAAAUCGUGAGUGCUCGGCCGCGGCGUUGCUCCUUCUUGGCCCCUCUGUGACAUCCCCUUUCUUUCGCUUGCAGCGAAUUCUCUCGACAGGAGCUCCCUGCCAGGCCUCGCUUCACCCUCCGCCUUUGGGGAGAGAGACUGUAAUUUUUACACAAACAUCGGCUAAGAAGGGGAGGGGACUGCGCUCACCGACGGCGGGGACUUCGGUGGUCAUUGUAGGACUUUGGGAGGUGGGGAAGGUGCACAGCAGCAGGCUACUUUAUUUCAGGGUCUGGCGGCGAGCCCCUCCUGAAUUUACCUAAUGAAAUUAAUUAAAAAAUUUUUCAUUUUCUCAUUUCAUUCCAGCAGAAAAUGAGUUUGCCUUUAUAAUGUCCAGAUCUUUCAAACUCUACUGAGUGAGAAAUUAAGUUACAGAAUGGAACUACUUUGGCAUCAACAUCUAUGGGAAACAAAGUAAUCUGUGACUGUAAUACAAUAGCAAGCCUGGCCGUAGGGUCCUAGGACACUUAAAACAAUUCUUUUUACGAUGUGCAAUAAAGGAAAAUAAGAUUCCAUGAAAAACAUUUCUGUUUUAAAAUGGAUGGCUUGUGCUAUAUAAUACAUUUAAUUGUAAUUUCUAUUUGUCAACUGUAAAUUGUCUUGUAAAAAAUAUCCGGAACCU